AUACGGGAGGCAGCAGUGGGGAAUUUUGGACAAUGGGCGAAAGCCUGAUCCAGCCAUGCCGCGUGCGGGAAGAAGGCCUUCGGGUUGUAAACCGCUUUUGUCAGGGAAGAAAUCCUUUGAGUUAAUACCUCGGGGGGAUGACGGUACCUGAAGAAUAAGCACCGGCUAACUACGUGCCAGCAGCCGCGGUAAUACGUAGGGUGCGAGCGUUAAUCGGAAUUACUGGGCGUAAAGCGUGCGCAGGCGGUUAUGUAAGACAGGUGUGAAAUCCCCGGGCUUAACCUGGGAACUGCACUUGUGACUGCAUAGCUUGAGUGCGGCAGAGGGGGAUGGAAUUCCGCGUGUAGCAGUGAAAUGCGUAGAUAUGCGGAGGAACACCGAUGGCGAAGGCAAUCCCCUGGGCCUGCACUGACGCUCAUGCACGAAAGCGUGGGGAGCAAACAGGAUUAGAUACCCUAGUAU
rnacentral:rRNA from 1 species